UACGUAGGGUGCGAGCGUUGUCCGGAAUUAUUGGGCGAAAGAGCUCGUAGGCGGUGUGUCACGUCGGCCGUGAAAACCUGCAGCUUAACUGUGGGCGUGCGGUCGAUACGGGCAUCACUGGAGUUCGGCAGGGGAGACUGGAAUUCCUGGUGUAGCGGUGAAAUGCGCAGAUAUCAGGAGGAACACCGGUGGCGAAGGCGGGUCUCUGGGCCGAUACUGACGCUGGAGGAGCGAAAGCGUGGGGAGCAAACAGG
rnacentral:rRNA from 1 species